rnacentral:rRNA from 1 species
AUUGAACGCUGGCGGCAUGCCUUACACAUGCAAGUCGAACGGCAGCACGGGAGCUUGCUCCUGGUGGCGAGUGGCGAACGGGUGAGUAAUACAUCGGAACGUACCCAGUAGUGGGGGAUAACGCACCGAAAGGUGCGCUAAUACCGCAUACGACCUACGGGUGAAAGCGGGGGACCGUAAGGCCUCGCGCUAUUGGAGCGGCCGAUGUCUGAUUAGCUAGUUGGCGGGGUAAUAGCCCACCAAGGCGACGAUCAGUAGCUGGUCUGAGAGGACGAUCAGCCAACCGGGGACUGAGACACGGCCCAGACUCAUACGGAAGGCAGCAGUGGGGAAUUUUGGACAAUGGGGGCAACCGUGAUCCAGCAAUGCCGCGUGUGCGAAGAAGGCCUUCGGGUUGUAAAGCACUUUUGUCAGGGAAGAAAUCUUUCAGGCUAAUACCCUUGGAAGGAUGACGGUACCUGAAGAAUAAGCACCGGCUAACUACGUGCCAGCAGCCGCCGUAA